CUGUCUCUCUCCCGCUCUCCAUCCAUUUCACUCAAUCUACUUGUCUCUCUUCCUCUGUCUCUCUUUCUACCUGUCUCUCGCUC